UCUCAGGCUUGUUUUGACAGCGCUGGGAGCUGGGUCCCAUGAGAAGAACAGCAAACUCACUCCUUUCCCUUUCCACGUCUGGAGCUCCAGCCCAUCAUUCGCCGCAGGGGGAAGGAAGAAACAAUCAAGCAUUGUCUUGUUCCGGACUGGUGUGUCAGGGCCUCAUGGAAUAAAUAUUAUUUGCCUGGGAGGGGAACUGGCUGGAAGGCAGUCAAGUAAGGGCUGGGGUGGAGGGAGGGAGGGCAGCGAUGUUUGGGUUUGGUUUUAUUAGUAGUUUAAUCUUCUUCUCCCUUAGUUCUGCAGAUUCUUUUUUUUUUCUUUCUUUCUCCUGACAGGUCAUUAAGCAUAAAGGCCAUGAUGUAUAGGGGCCUCUGCCAAGAAGAAACAAAAAGGGACUUUCUGAAGCGUGUGGCCUUGCAUUACUAUGGCCUCCUGGUCACUCUCUGACCAGCUCUGGGUGAGCAAGGGGCAAACAUUCUGGGGACUCUCCCAGGGAGCAAACGACAUUCUGGAACCUUCCACCCACCAUGCAGCCCCUCAGCAAUCCCAAGACAUCUCACCCCGUGUGGCUGCUUUAUUCCUUAUGUCAGUAUUAGAAGGACAGCAGACUCCAUUGUAGAUCUGGGGAGAGGGAAGCCAAGAGUCUCCAGGUUUCCAGCGUUUUUCGAGUUCUCAGGACAUGCGAUUCAUUAAAUACUCUCGUCUACUGCUUUUCCCUCAUCCUUCAAGUCUUUUGACUCAAGAGAGGGGCACACCUCUCCAGAAGAAAGAACUAAGAAUCAACGACUCACUAAGAGACAGACACUGGGAAGAUUGCUCCACAGUGGCCUGACCCUUGUCAUCUCAAGAAAAUGAACAGGUAAGAAAAAUGAAGGUUUUUGU
rnacentral:lncRNA from 1 species